rnacentral:rRNA from 1 species
CCUACGGGAGGCAGCAGUGGGGAAUAUUGGGCAAUGGGCGCAAGCCUGACCCAGCAACGCCGCGUGAAGGAAGAAGGCUUUAGGGUUGUAAACUGCUUUUGUCAGGGAAGAGUAGAAGACGGUACCUGGCGAAUAAGCCACGGCUAACUACGUGCCAGCAGCCGCGGUAAUUCGAAGGGGGCAAGCGUUGUCCGGAGUUACAGGGUGUAAAGGGCGUGUAGGCGGGUUGACAAGUCAGAUGGGAAAUCCUGCGGCCUAACCGCAGAACUGCAUUUGAAACUGUUGAUCUUGAGUACUGGAGAGGCAGACGGAAUUACUAGUGUAGCGGUGAAAUGCGUAGAUAUUAGGUGGAACCCCGUUGGCGAAGGCAGCCUGCUGGACAGCCACUGACGGUGAGGCGCGAGAGCGUGGGGAGCGAACAGGAUUAGAUACCCUUGUAGUC